UUCUGCUGGAAAGGAGGAGAAGAUAACCAGCCACUAGCACCUUAGCUCCUGUGGCCCAGCUCAAGGGCACGGGGGGAGCUUUACCUCCUGAGAGCUAGGAUACAAGGAGGCCACCGAGCCUGCUGUGAUAGGAAUUCCCAGUGGCUACACGGCAUGCGGGAACUUCUCAAAGGAAGAUUGUAGCGAUCAAGGAUAUUCAGGGAUACAGAAAACGAGCUGGAAAGGAGGAUGUCUUCCUCCAGGGGCCAAACAGGAAUGGGAGAGGAAGUGUGGCCUUCUGAUUGAGGAACUGUGACUUGGGAGAGAGCGAGGCUCUGCUCCAUCCCCUGCCGCUGAUUCCCCAUGGGACCUUGGUCAUGUCACUUUUAAUCUGUGCUUGUUUGUCCCCCUCUCUGUAAAAUGGGGACAAUCCUCCUUCUUUACUUGCAGAUGCUUUUCAACAUGCAGGUAUAUGGGAGAUACCAGAGUACCACAGAUGUACAGGAUGAAUUAUGAUGCUGGAAAUCAAGAGGUAUCUGCAGUGGUAGGAGGGUUUGAGUAAUUGGAUUCGCAGAGUGUGCUAGUCUGUUUGAACUAGAAGACCUUUACUUAAACAGAUGUGGCUUAAAGGGCUCGUAAGAUUGAGCAGUGGGGUGAGAAGAGCUUUUCCUUCACUUGAAAAACACAGCGAGCCCUUCUGGGGCGCGGACAGGAUGGAAGAGCUCCAGAACAGAAUAAACACUCUCAAGUGUUGGUGAACAAACACAUGCUGGAAGUGUUAUUAGGUGACAAACCAUGCAAUCUAGUGGACACAGAUACGACCCAACUGGAUGGGCUUCACAUCCAGAAUGAUCCUGGAGCCCGGACAUCUGCCACGCCACCGGCUUCGGUUCAGCAAGGCAGAAUGGAGCAAAUGCUUUGCACGCGAACACGAGGAAGGAAAGAUUAAAGGAGAAAUAGCAGCAGACAUCUGCUAGGGACCAGCCCCCCUCAAAGGGGAGUGAACACAGCAAUUCCUGGAUCUACUCCGAUAGUUCUUGAAACUCCAGAUCACAGCACUCGGGAGGAAUUUUAAAUAUCCGGACAUCUGCUGUGUAACAAAUGCAGCCAAAUUUUCACGAAGGAGAUUCGAAGAUAGAAAGACGACAAGUAGAACCUGCUGAAAAAAAAAUUAAAAUCAGAAGAGAAGCCAUCCUGAAUUUAGCUUCGACCAACAAGCCGACAGGGAUUGAAAAUGUGAGAAUAAAGAACAAGCGGUGCCUGCACUGACAGGCUCUGAUAUGUCCAGAGUAAGGAAUGGGCCCAGUUCAGGGGGGUCCAAGCACAGCUGGAGGCCAGGAUGUCGCAUUUUGGGGGAAGAAAGAAAUGAAGGGAGGGAUCCUGACACUACCGAAGUCAAUGGGCAGAUGCCCAUUGAUUUCCAGUAGGGUUCAGCUCUCACCGUAAGUGAACACAGUAUUAUAGUAAGCAGUAUUAAAACCUGAUGUGCAUACAUGAAGAGUGGAAGUGGCAGAAAGGAUCAGACCCACAAAGCAGGGAAGUUUCAAGCAAGGCAAAGGCACAAUCCUCAUCUUGAACAAUGCCAGGAACACGGGUGGCCAACGUGGUUUCACUUGGGAGCUUUCAAAGAAUGAGGUAAGAAAAUCCUCGCUGCAGUUACUGGAAAAGGAGCAGCAGCAGCAGCCAGAAAACAGCACAAAUGAACAGCCCUAGGGGCCAAGGUGAAGGAAUAGGACGUUUAUUGUUCUGUUUUGGGGAAGUCGUUAACAUGACUACAUGUUGAGGGGAGGGGGUGAAAAGAAGUGCAACUCAAAAAAGGAUGAUGCAUUUUGAAAAAAUCCUUCCUUAAGAAAAAUAAGAAGCUGAGAUCAACAGGAAAUGGAUAAGGACCUUACAAAAGAACGAGCACUGAGAAAUGUAAGGCUAUUUUCUGAACCCUCAAACACAAAUCAACUGUUCCUGCUGGCAAAGACUGCAAUGGAACCGAUCUUGUUGAGAAAAAAAGGCUCAUUAGACUGCCUUAGACUUGAAGCUCUUUGGAGCAAUGCCUAUUCUGUUUUCCUAAAACAGGGGGGCUCCAAUCUUGGCUGGUUUCAGGGCGGUGCUGUAAUAACCAUGAUUUAUUCAUCAUGGAAGUGAUCUUGACUUGCGUUCUGAGAAUGUCAUCACCGGGAACAGCAGCACAAAUACGAGGGAGCUCGGCAAAAUGCAGCUUGCUUGAAGUGACUUUCCAUUCCCAAGUCGCUGAAUAAACUAAGCAGCAUUUCACUGGAGCAGAGAGAAAUGCAACCACUGCAGAGGGUCCUGAUGCUUCCGAUGGAUCUAAAGCAAUGAGGUGAAAGGCUUGGGAAGAAAGAGGGAAAGGCUUUGGGAAGGAAAACAUUCUCAAGAGGGACAAGGGAAGGCUGGAGGCUCAGCCAGGUGUGAGUGAGCAUGUUUCAAUGAGGCACAGGUGCUGUUCACCUCUGAUGCCUCCCCAGUGGAAGAUACGGGCUCUCGGCCCCUUCAGGAUCAGGCCUAGAGCACCCCACGUUGCUCUGAAGCCCAGCAUUACCUGUGGGCUCCACCUCCAGAACCUGGAUGUGCUCAUGACUGGGAUGAAUCAUCUCACUGUAAGGUGCUGGGAUACGUGGUUGCUAGUCAUUGCAAGAAAGGACAGGAGAACCCAGCUCAGCGAUUCCUUUGCCUUGUAGUUCAUCCCAGAGGAGUCUAUGUGGAUCGGGAUGUUUGUGUGUGGAAGUGAGACAAUUUGCAGAGUUCUUGCUACCGCAGAGGUCAACGCGAAGGUGCAGGUUUGGAGAACGGGUGCAGAUUGACGUCACUGGUUAGAGAGUUGACAGAUUAUUCUUGCGCUCAACAUUUACUGUAAAUAAUUCUUGAAAUCAACCCAGCCACAUCAGCGAGUCAUUCCAAGAAUAAUGUGGCAAGUCUCUGACAGGCACGGAUAGCUGCUGAUGGAGGAUCAACCUGCGAUGCUACUUAUUUUACAAGACCUUUUUAUUCUAUUUCACAGAUUUGACUAUUACAGCAGUGAAAUUAUUACAAGUGACUCAUAACAUUUAGGGUCAAAUUAAAGUAGAAAAAACACAAACACAAAGGAAAGUUACAUGUGAUGCAAUGUGUGGUAAAUGUGUUUUAAGAGCACAGAAAAAAUAUAUAAAAA